CCUUUAUGAGAGCGACUGCUUUGGCCUUGAAUUCCCUUUCACCUUCCUCUCUGCUAUUCUGUACUGUGGAGUGGACAGAGGGUUGGGCCUCCAUCCUCUGACCAGCCCCGUGUGACCUACUGCUGUCCCAUCCAGAGGCUCAGGAUCGUCCUAGAAAGGGGUCCACAGAUCUGUCUGUAAACCAGGAGUCUCUCAUGGAAAAGGAGUAGAACCACCGGGUCACAUGGUUACCAUCAUGAACAGUUUGAGGAAGCAGGCACAGAUAUUAACAGGAUUGGAGUUGUUCUGCCAAGACGCUACUGCU
ensembl:lncRNA